UUACCGUAUUUUGUGAACGAACGCACUCUCUUUGCAAGCCUCUGAAAAGGAAGAUGUUCAUUUGCGAAAUCGUAAUGAGGCUGUUACUCAAGACUAGCUUUUGUCAUGUCAUUAUGUAGUACAAGUAUGUAGAUAGUAUCCCAUUGCUUGGUGUGCGUUAAUGUUUGUCAAGUGCGAGUGUGUGUAGAAGCACUCUUAGCUAUGAUAUGAAUGUGUGUGUGGGUGUGUAUUGCGUGUCUGUGUGUGUGUGUGUAUACAAGUCUGAUAAUAUCAACGAGUCCCUAAUACCGCGACCGCUCAACCAGCGCAGAGACACACUCCGUACACAUCUAGUACAUUCAUCCACACACACACAAAUGUUGGCUGCUGCACUACUUGUGCGUGAUUAGUUACAGUACACUUUGCCCAACGAAUUUCCCCCCAGUCGGUGGUGAGAGAGGGGAAGCGCGACAUCUCUUGCCUGCCAACCAACCCAUACAUGCAUCCACCCGCUCGCUAUGGGACGUGGGAACUGGUGAAUGUCGGCUAUAUUUGCGUCAGGACGUCUACUUGUCGUCAUCAAUUCUAUCCGUGUGCUUCUCAAGUUCGUUUGUGCUUGGGCAGCUAGCUCUGUUAUUUGGAUUAGCGUGGAAACAUACAUUAACUGGAGUAUCUACAUGGACUUCCUCUCUCGCUUGGAUCCCAUAUCACGCGCUCUUUUCUGAAAGAUUCAACAUGCAAGAAUAGAUCCAGGGACUGAACCUGGAGACGUCACAAACAACAAUAACAACUCGCCAGACAAAGAGACAUCUCGUCAGGACCGCAACGCCAAAAGCAGUGCCCCAUGCCACCAAGCCAAGGAGGGCACAAUGGAGAGCUGUGUGGGACUACAGCUUCAGUUUGACCAUAGUCAUGCUGCCCAUGGAGAUGAACCUGUCCAGGUGUCCCUUGCCGAUGUUGAUGCGGUCGUCAAUGCUGAUGUCGGUACAAGUGCCGCAAAUGGGAUCACCCUCACGCAAUGCGAGGGGGUCAUGGUCCAGGCAGGAGGCAACGAAGAGACCAACAAUGCCCUCUUGCAGGAAGUCGAUGACAACCUCCUGCAGGCCCUUGUCAACUCGGGUGCAACGGAACAGCUGGAGAUGGAAUCCUUGGCUCAUUCGCUUAUGAAUGACUCUCUAGCGUUCUCGGAAGCAGAGAUCCAGCAGCAUUUGCAGACGGAUAAUAUCAACGUGGAGUACUGCAAACAACUUGGCAAUGGCCAGACUGUCAACAAUAUGGGCGUCAUGGGAAUGCCUCCUGUAGCUAUGAUAUCUCAGUCAUUAACUUCCCAGACCCCUGGUGCAAUGGUUGCCCAGUCAUCUCUAAUGGGGUCCAACCAGCAGCAACCACAGCAGCAACAAGCAUCCAUGCCAAUGAAACAGAACCACAGCAACCAACAGGACAACGUGCAGGUUCCUUCAAAUGCAUAUGACAUAGACACCAGUAUGAUGAUAGAAUCAGUUCUUGAAGUGCGAGAAGGGGAGGACGCGACUACAGCUUUAGUGACUCCCCCUGCUCAACAGCCAGGCUUUGGAUACCAGUCUUAUGCACAUAAUUUUGGAGCUGAUGCACUUGUAAGUGAAAAAGAAUCUGAUAAUACUCCUAAUGCAACAAGUGAUGAACAAGACCAGGAACUGUUUGCCAAAAGGAUGUGCCAAAUGCAAGGAGGACUUGGAUCAGAAUAUACUGUUGCUACUGGGUACAGUCCUAAAGUGAAACAGGUCUAUCAACAUCAAGGUCAGUAUGGCCAGCAACAAAGUCCGAAAGCUGGCACCAAAGCAAAAAAGUCAAAAAUUCCAACUCAGUAUCCCAGUCAGUCGCUCACCAGUGAUCUCACACUGUCAAGUCCAUCAGCAACAAAUAAAGGAGCAACGCCGACCAAGAACCAUUCAGUCUCAAAGACAAAGGAGGUUAGCAAAACUAGUAAAGUUAGGACAAAAGACAAACAUGUGGUAUCCACAAAGAAAUCUGAAAUAAAUCACAAAAAGUCGCCAAAGCAGAGCAUCAAAGUUGUAUCCUCCCCCAAAUUGCAUAGCAGUACCAAACCCAAACAUAAAGAACACAAGGGACACAAAGGCACUAAGUCACCUUUGGUAUCUCCAGUGUCAUCAGAGAGCAGCAACAAAUCUACGAAAAAGAACCACAAGAAAGUUGAACAGUUUGUCACCUCAUUAACGUUGAGUUCAUCAGACGGGGACAGUAGCCCUGUGCAAGAAGGCAAAAGUAAAGGCAGUGCUCACAAAAUGAAGAAAUCAAAACUUAAACAUUCGACACCACCUAGUGGGCAGCCUAAGACCAAGAAAGUAAAAAAGACAAUUAGCAAAGUGAAAACAAAGAAAAAAUCCAAGUCCAUCAGCCCUUCACUCUCUAAGUUAGGAUCAAAGAGUGGAAACAGUACUCGUAAGGUCAAAAAGAAGUCUUUGAAAUCGAACCCACUAGGGUCAGUGUGCCACAGUGAAAAGUCAUCUAGUAGCAACAAUUCAAGCCCUGUCUCUUCUAAAAGUGGAAAGGUGAAAAAGAAGAAGGUUAAAAAGAUUCACAAAAAUAGUGAUGGUAGCCUUAAAAAGCUCAACGGCUUGAGCAGGGGUGGUUCUGGAAAGGUAGUUCGAAAGAAGAAAAAGGUAAAAACAAAGGUGUUGAACUCAGAUAGUGUGCACUCUUUGAUCAAGAGUGGCAGGUUGUCUCCUACAAUGGCAGCUUCAGUCCUUAUGAACAAUAUUGACAGUGAUGAUGACAAUAGAGAUGUCGGGUAUGAUAGUAGUACCCAGAAAUCCCAAAGUGGGAAGAGUAAAAAGAUUGCCCAUCUGCCCAAGCUGUCGGUAACCUUACCAACAAGUAGUCUUUCCCAUCCAGAACUCUUGCUUAAGACCGUGCCAAAGAACAAGAAGACCACCAGUAAGAAACUCAAACACAGUCAUUCAACAUCGCCUUCUGGAAAGAGUGAUAAAGCUGUGAAAAAGACAAAAAAGAUCAAGAGUAAGAAUUCAGUGAAGAAGAAUUUAUUAGGAGGAUCUAAGACUCUGAGCCCAACAACUCCAUUACACAUUGACAUUCCUGAUACCGAGCAUACCUUCACUCCCAUCUCUAAACCAGGAUUUUCUAAUGACACCAUAAAUAAUUCACACAAAAAGGCCAAAACAAGGAAAAUUGGAAGACCAAAGAAAAACGCAUCCCCCUCGGGUUCCGAGGAACAUGGAAAGUCCUCUAAUAACAAAAAAGAUUCACAUGUGUUUGCAGAGCCGGAUCAUUCUUCUGCCACCGGGUUAGGGAAGGGAAAGAAAGUGAGUGAAAACGGACAGUCAGAAGGACAAUCAAAGCAUAAAGAACAGACACCUUCCCCGCAAAGUGCCACAACGUGUGUCAGUGAGGAAACCCUCUUUAGUGAUAGUGGUAUAGGUACUGAUAACAACAGCAAUCCUGACCAACAGUUAAGUGACAAACACAAAAGGAUACUAUCUGUCCCACCCGCAACUGAAACUGAAAUACCCACCGAGGUUUUGGAAUCACAUCCUCUAGCUACUUCAGAUCAUGGACUCUAUGGUUUUGGAAAGCGGGAAAAACAUAGAAAGUUGAAGCAUGCUCAGUGGCAGUUUUUGAAUCUGCAUUGCAAGAAGAGGAGGAAAAGGUACCACAUGUCACGUAUGCUUGGUCGUGUUAGUCCAACCUUCCUGUUUGAGAUGGAUUCUCUAGCCAUGCUAAUGGCAGAACUUACACUUGCAAGUGUGCAGCAGAGCCCGCAUCAUCCUAACCUUGCAAAGAAACCAGUAGAGAACUAUCUUACGUCUAUUGCCAAAAUGAACUCGUCUUACAACUCGUAUCUUCUCAGACCAUCUUACCUGGCUACUGCCUUGAGGUAUAAGAAACUCCAUCGCUUGAACAAACAUCGGAAGAAAAAGCGAGAGCGUGAAAAGAAUCGCUUUCUUCAAGAUGAGGAAGAUGAAUCAUCCAACCAUGUGGACUCUCUUGAUUCAGAGCCUGUCUUUGGUAUGUUUGAUCAAAGCAUAAUUAGAUCUGCAGCCAGUGGAGCACCAACAUCAUUUGCCAUGGCUAGUGCAUCUAGCAUGAGCAUGUCUCGAGUAUCUCUAAAUAGAGUCAGUAACAGAACAACCAAUGCUGAGGCACCAUCAGAAGAUAGUUCAACACCUAUACCUGGUGACAACCUCAACAUAAGAUCAGUAGCUGAUGUUCAGCCAUCGACGAAGGUACCUGCUCAGAAGAAAGGAAAGAAGAAACAAAUGCCUAAGACAUUGCCUGUGAAAGUGAGUUUGGCUAAAGCCAAGGUUUUGAAGAAAAAUAGCACAGGAAGGCCCAGAGGAAGGCCAAGGAAAAUACCACUUGUUGCCUCUGAUGCUGUGGCUGACGAUCCUCCUGCAUUAGUUUUUCCGAUUCCCCAUUCUGUUCCUGAUCAGGCAAUACCAGCCCAGGUGUCUGACCAACCCCUUCCUCAACCAAAGCGAAGAGGUCGUCCUCCCAAAAAGCGUCUUCUCAGUAGUGUGCCAAAUACUUUGCCAGUGAAGCUGUCUAAGCCGAAGGGCACUCCCGGGAGAAAGCGGAAAGUUCAAAGUACUAUAAAUUCGGAUACGAUAAGUCGUGAUACAUUGAUCUUUGAUUCUGCAAGCAGUACUAGUGGUGAUGAUCACAAUAUGCCAUCUAUAACCGCAGGUGAUAUUAUUGAUGAUAGGACAACUGAAAUUUGCCAUGUGGACCACCUUGCAUCAGAUAAUUCUAUUCAUGUUGCAGAGAAGGUCACUAAACAACCCAACAAGAUACCAAAGAGGAGAGGCCGCCCUCCUGGAAAAUCAAAGACAGCAAAUAGCAUGAAAAAUCAAAAUGUGGAUGUACCAGCAGAAAUACAGACUGUUGCUUGUGCCGAGAAAGAGUCUUUCAUUCAAAGUGUUACCAUUGCCAAAAGGAAAGGCAGAAAACGAGGACCUAAGAAAGGUUGGAAGAAACUAUUGGCAGCAAAAUUGGCUGGGAAAACCUCCCAGGAAAAGUUGCCAGAUGAAACAGGAUGCAGUGAAAAUUUGUCAGAAACCGCUCUUCAAACUGAGUCUAGCCCUGAGAAAUCUCUUGAAGUACCAAAGUCACCUGUUGAAAUGGUGGAAAGUGCCUCUGAUUCUUUCAUUACUUCUGCCCAAGGUCCUGCAGACCUUGUCUCACCUGACAACAGUUCAGAUGAAGAAACACCCACCAAAGUCUCAACAACGAAAGGAACAUCAAGAAAAACCGUCCCUGCCAAAGUGGCGACAUCAAACAAAAAGGUGUCAAGUAAAGGAGUUUCAUCAAAAGGGAAUUCAGAAAAAGAUGAAAAGACCAAAGCAUCACCACCAAACAUUAAAAACACAGUUAUUCCAUCCAAAUCAGCAUCAAGUACAACUGCACCAACCAAACUAUCAAAACAUUCAGGCAAAUCAACAAAAUUACCUGCAUCUUGUAAAUCAACUAAAAUCUCGCCUGCAAUUUCCCCUAAAAUCUUCGCUAAGAAAUUGAAAAUGUCUCCCAAAAAGCUCAGAUUACUUGAGAAGAAAAAAUUGAAGAAGAUCAUUUCUGGAAAAGUGAAAAAGUCCAAGGAACAAGCUAUUAGAAAAUUGAAUGUUGAAAACCUUGAUGAACUCCCAGAUGAAGAACCUCUGUCUUUUCUUAUUACUGGCAAAAUGUCAUCGUUGUUAGCCAAUCUGACACAACGGACAUCUACUGUUGCUUCUUGUACUGACCAGAAGUCAUCCAAAUCUGCAGAACCUGAAGAAGCACAUCCAUCAGGAUCAGUAGCUGCAGUAGUGCCAGCCGAUUCCAAAUUAAAGAAGUUAUCUGACAUGAAAGAAAGUGCUACAGCCGCAAAAGGAAGUAUGAACAGUGCAAAAGCAUCAAAAUCUGAUGUUUCUCCACCUGAGACAAUCAAAGCAGAUACAGAAGAUGUCGUCAAGGAAUUACCAUCAGCUACGACUGCCGUGGAGAGUGCAUCCACCCAAGAGCUACAAACCUCCUCCUCCUCCUCCCCUGCCUCCCCAACCAAAUCCUUGCCCCCAAGUCCAUUCCAUCAACUUCGACUCCUGCAUCAUCUGUCCCCCCUACUACCCCACCCAUUCCAGUUGCAAUGUCAGAGAGCUCCAAACUCCAGGCAGCAUCUCUACCGAAGGCUUAUGUCCGGGUAAAGAAAACAUCCCAGCAAGUUCUUAAGGUGACCAAGAAGAAGGCUCCAGAGACCUCUGUUGCCAAAGCGACACCUCCUGUGUUGGACGAAUCGUCGAUCCCCCUCAAGAAGAGGAAGCUGAUGAAAGAGCCCCCUCCUCAGCUGACUGAACAGGAUCCUAAAGGUGUUCCUAAGGUUCAGACUGAGAUCCUUCCAGUUGACGAGCCUCCGGUCC